rnacentral:rRNA from 1 species
CAUGCAAGUCGAGCGGUAAGGCCCUUCGGGGUACACGAGCGGCGAACGGGUGAGUAACACGUGGGUGAUCUGCCCUGCACUUCGGGAUAAGCCUGGGAAACUGGGUCUAAUACCGGAUAUGACCUUCGGCUGCAUGGCUGAGGGUGGAAAGGUUUACUGGUGCAGGAUGGGCCCGCGGCCUAUCAGCUUGUUGGUGGGGUAAUGGCCUACCAAGGCGACGACGGGUAGCCGACCUGAGAGGGUGACCGGCCACACUGGGACUGAGACACGGCCCAGACUCCUACGGGAGGCAGCAGUGGGGAAUAUUGCACAAUGGGCGAAAGCCUGAUGCAGCGACGCCGCGUGAGGGAUGACGGCCUUCGGGUUGUAAACCUCUUUCAGCAGGGACGAAGCGAGAGUGACGGUACCUGCAGAAGAAGCACCGGCCAACUACGUGCCAGCAGCCGCGGUAAUACGUAGGGUGCAAGCGUUGUCCGGAAUUACUGGGCGUAAAGAGCUCGUAGGCGGUUUGUCGCGUCGUCUGUGAAAACUCGAGGCUCAACCUCGAGCUUGCAGGCGAUACGGGCAGACUUGAGUACUGCAGGGGAGACUGGAAUUCCUGGUGUAGCGGUGAAAUGCGCAGAUAUCAGGAGGAACACCGGUGGCGAAGGCGGGUCUCUGGGCAGUAACUGACGCUGAGGAGCGAAAGCGUGGGUAGCGAACAGGAUUAGAUACCCUGGUAGUCCACGCCGUAAACGGUGGGCGCUAGGUGUGGGUUUCCUUCCACGGGAUCCGUGCCGUAGCUAACGCAUUAAGCGCCCCGCCUGGGGA